rnacentral:rRNA from 1 species
UACGAAGGGUGCAAGCGUUACUCGGAAUUACUGGGCGUAAAGCGUGCGCAGGCGGUUGUGCAAGACAGAUGUGAAAUCCCCGGGCUCAACCUGGGAACUGCAUUUGUGACUGCACGGCUAGAGUGUGUCAGAGGGGGGUAGAAUUCCACGUGUAGCAGUGAAAUGCGUAGAUAUGUGGAGGAAUACCGAUGGCGAAGGCAGCCCCCUGGGAUAACACUGACGCUCAUGCACGAAAGCGUGGGGAGCAAACAGG